AGAGAGAUGACAUCCAUCCCUCAGGUGGCAGCUUCACUUUCAAUCCUCUGCAACAGCCAUGUUGGUCCACCACAGUGGUGAAAGCUCCAGUCUUGUAAAGCCCUAAGAUGAAGAUGAAUGUCCGUUCUGAGGUGUCUCCACUCAGCAGACUCAGCAGACUCAACAGAAGCUGUGAGAACAUCUCUUGCCAGCACACAUGAAGAUUCAAAAAUAAUCUUCUAUUGACGAGUGUACACCAUAUCACAGACAGCCCACUGUAUAGCCAUAAGCUCAGCUUCUUUUUGUGACCCCACAUUCGAGAAGGCUAGCCUGCUAUGAAGAAUAGUAGUACCUUUAUCAUCACGCAAAAUCCAACCCACUCCACACAUAUCAUGAUUAUUAACCCAGGACACUCCUAUAUUGCAUUUCAGGUAACCCGGCGGAGGUCUCGUCCAAAGAGAGAGAGCACUGUAGCGUCGUCGAAGAGGUUUGGUGUAACGACCCAGAUUCAUAAAUCAAAAUAGUUCUGGUUGUUUUAAUUAUUUGUUUAACCAAAACCGGUUUGGUUUGGUUUAAUUAUAAUUAUUAUAACUAAAACCCUCACUUCCAUUUUGGUCAAAGCGUGCAAUAUAAAUAUUGUAUACAUCUCCACUUUCGUUGAAAAAGACCAGCGCCGUCAACCUCCUGAUACCAUCUUCUUGUUCUUCAUGAAACCUAGCGGCAACCAAGACAACACCAUCACCUUCAUACCGUCAUUAUUUUGUGAACCCGAGGGAAGGUAUCCCAUCGAAAGAGAAGGAGAUGUCACGCCUCAUCACCACUAUGUAGCGUUCACCGUUUGGGGCACCUUGUGUCACCGGAGAUGUAACACGGUGCUGGAGACACGCCUUGCCGUCAGAUAUCCAUCGCCUGUCUCUUAUGGUCGUGCAGCGGAUCUGAGAGGCUUUGAUGUGGAGAAGAGACGCACGUACACGGAGCCAUCACGUAGAGCACUUCCGGUGCCGAUCAUCACGUCAUCAUCUCAUCGGAGGAGGGUCUGAGAUCAUUGCCGUGCCGGAGCCUUUAUCAACUCUCGACAUGGCCGUGAUCAUAACCGAGAGAUGCGGAGGAGGCACGAUCUAAAUUGGAGUUGCGGCGUUUAACACCAACCAAUACCAUCGUUAACCAUGAGUCAUAGGAGGGGCAAGCCAUGUCACCGGAGAGUCGUUCAUGAUCACGUUUGAGCCAGCCACCAUCAUCAACCGUAGUCCAAGCCGUAUAGCAGCUACGUGUUAUCUUCUUGUUACUUAUGUUACAAGCAACAUAUUUAGCUUAAGCUAAAUGUUUCAUGCGUAGGAAACAUGCAACUUUGGAUGUUAUUAUUCUAAAACCUAAGCGAGAUUUGAAGGGCGAGGCGUUUUCCCAUUAUCUCCGACCUUGGCUAAGAUGAGACUGACGAGCAGGAGUGAUUGCUAUCGGGCUGGUGCUUUGGGAGUUUUAUUUCUGUCUUUUUCAGACUUGCGAAUUUUAUGUUGUUAUCGAUAUUUUCGGGAUUUAUUAUGUUAUUUUGAUUUAUGGCUAUUUAUUGGAUUUACGACUUUGAAGUUGACUUUUGAGAAGUAAUAAAUGGAGAUUUCAGACU